GAGGACCUGUCAUGGACCACCAACACCUUCAGCAAACUUAAGAAGGUUCUUCAACACCUGCUACAUCUGUGAAAGCACCAUCUACUUUCACAAAUAUAGGUGAAUUGUGCAGCUGAGAACAUUUAACCUCUUCUGAGUCUGGUGGAGGACCUCCUCUGUAAGAAUCCAAAGCAGGUGGAGAAAACUGCACAGAGCAUUAUGGAAACUCCACUCCCAGAGAAAACGCAGUCCCAGCAUCGCCUUGAUCCUUCAAACACAUACCAUUAACCAUCCUCCCCUUCAGGAGGGGUUUCAGGAACCUGCCGUACCUCUCAGAGAAUUUCCUCAGCAGAGUGAGGAAAUACUUUCCACCAGAGCUAUCCCUGCUUUCCAUGCAGGACAUUCAUGUUCUGUAGUCAGUGGAUGAAAUGUUAUAGAACUAAAGCAUGGCUGCAGUCCAGCUCCUGGCACCAACGAGGCCUUUCUCCACUCAAAUGGAAACUCGCAAAUGUGUUUCAUGCUUGUUUAAACUCUGUUAACUCGGGCUCUUUAAAGGUAGCACUCAGAAGUUUUGACUGUGACAUGCAAACUGCACAUGCCUUCAUGGUGUCUGUUUUUCUCCGUUCUGCAGGGAGGUGACCCUUGAAGAGAUGUCAUCCAGCAGGGAGUGAAGUGGGAACAAUGAAUGCCGUAAAAGCCUCUGAGAUGCACAACAACGGUCUGCGGGAGAGACGGCACCUCCUGCUCCUGCAGAGGCCCACACAGGCUCAGAGGAAAGCUGGACAGAAGAUGGAGAGGUCCACCAAUGGAGCGGGGAGUCGGUCAACACAAGGCAAGGCCUUAGAUUCCUGUUUGUGUUUUUUCCACCGGGAGUCCAGGCAGACGUGUCCUUCAGGCCGACAGUAGCUCUCCAGCUGAGUGUGAUGUAGGCCAGCCUCAGCUCUCCUGCUGAUUCUCUUUACACACACUUGGCUCUUCAAACAUGCGGUUGGAGGCUGGAAUUGUAGUUAAGUGUUGUACCCUGCACUGCAUCAGCUGCUCAGAAUUGACAAAUCUGAAUUCUGAAGAAGAAAGUUAUUUAAAGGAUGGGAAGAAUCGGAAAAGGUGAUUUCAGAGAUUCAGAAUCCUUCGGCAUAUUUCAUUUACAUAGAGACUUUCACCUGCUGGAACUGAGGAGCCUCAAAGACAGGUGGCACUUCAAAGCACUCACACACACUACUUUUUACAGAAGACCACACUUGCUGCAGGGUUGGCAUGUGUUACAAAUAUAGAAACUUCCUAAAUGUGUUGAAUUUCCACUCUUGAUGCAUGCCCAACCAGUAUUUGAGUUUAUCACUUGGGCCACCGUAUCUGUGCCUUCCUCCUUAAUAUUAAUGGAAGCGUUUCAUUGCUGGUGACUCGGCCCCUCCCACAACUUUAGAUUUCUAUACAUUUGCGCGCAGCUGCACAUUUUGCAAACUCUUUUUUCUCAAUUCUUACACUUUUGCAGUUAUUUUGUCUAAACUGAACCACAAACUGAAAACAAUCAGUGUUGCUUUUACAAAAACAUUUCAAAGUUCAUAUUAAAAAGAGUUUUUCAAAUACAAAAUGUUUUCUAUAUGAUCAUACUCAAUUAAAUUAGGAUAAUAUUUGAUUUAAAACUACAACAAAAACUAAUCUGUUCUUUAUCAGCUUUAGAAACAAACAUUUUAAAUUAUUGUACUGAACCCCUACCUUUCUUUUUGUUUGAUGAGGCUUUUGGGACCUAAACUAGCUCUUUUGCUAAGAUGGACUGGUGAGUCGUCCAGGGUGUACCCUGCCUUCUCC
ensembl:lncRNA